AGGAAUGCAGCUGAAGAAGAUGCCAGCCGUUUCCGGUGGCUGGCCUUUGAAAGGUGCCUGCCAACUCUUGGGGCAGUUUCCAUAGAAACGAGGAUGGCAUAGCAACAGGCAGAGAUUCCACAUGACACAAGCCGGAGGACAGAAGCAGCCAGGGUCUCCUGGAGAAGCACCCGCUUGGUCUUGGAAACAGCCACUUGGACGUCACUCAGAAACGCCAUCCAAGCCUCAUCAGGCUGUGAAGCUACUGAGACAGAUCCAUCCGUUACAACAGCUAUCAGUCCUCAAUCAAGAGUGAGGCAAGAGGCCCUGGCUCCUUCCGUAAGGGACAGCAACAGACAACAAUGGCCCUAAUGAGUCACUCCACACCAAAAGCUGUCAAAUCCAUCAUCCCCGCUUUAGUUUUUGAAAGUGAUUAAACAUUUUCUUCCCUUUGGUAGUGAGAUGCCCGCGACAGCCAAUCUAUCACGGCGUCUGAUCUAUCUCUGCAUGUUCCGAAGUUUAACUGCAGAGUUUCACAUCCAUCAUUUCCUACCUGAACCGCUUUUCGAAAAGGAAGGGGAAUUUUAGUUCUGCUUCUCGACAGCAGAGGAAUUAAAGAACGGGAGUUUUUUUCUCCCAUAAAACACCAGUGGCGGAUACGCAAACCUAAACCAGAAGAAUGCACGCCCAAACGAAGACGGCAAGCAUGGCCUUCUGAGAAGUGCGGUGCCCACGGAUGCCAAAAGAAGACACUGGAUCUCCUAGUCCUGGAGUUACAGAUGGUUGGGAGUUUCCGUGUGAGUGUUGGGGAUGGAACCCAGGUCUUCCUCAAGAGCAGCCAGCGCUCUUAACCACUGAGCCACCUCUCCAGUCCUGUUGCCAUUUUUAAUCUCAGUAAUAUGUUGACCAUCUUAGCCACUGUGGUACAUGUGUGUCACUGGCUUUAAGUACCUCCAGGGAUGUGCGACUUCAUGGAUGGGCCUUUGCCCUCUAUUUCUAGAACUUUCUCAUCACCCCAAAAAGAAAACUCUGUUCCCAUUUUCAGUCACUCCUCAUCACUCCCCCCACCCCACCUCAACACCAGCCUGGGCAGGCACAACCACAAAACUGCUUUCUGUCCCGGUGGAUCUGCUUAUUCCAGACACUUCCAGGAUCUCUUUAAACAGAAAAUGAA